rnacentral:lncRNA from 1 species
UAGAUGGGAUUUACAUCUGAAAAACCAAGUGAGAAACUGAAGACCAGAGAGGGUGAGUGGUUUACUCAGUUUGGCACAACUGACCCCAACCUAGCCCUCCAUGAGGACUGAGCGCAUGAGAGAUCCUGAGCCACAGCCGCCCAGCCCUGCUCCUCUCGAAUUUCUGACCUACAGGAACUGCAAGAAGUAAUGAAAGACUGCUGUUUAAAGCCACUGCAUUUUGGCAUGAUUUGUUAUGCAGUCGUAGAUAACCAGAAAACAUCGGAUUUACAUUUUAAGGAAACAGAGAAGCAAAGAAGUUAGCAAGCUUGUUUUGGCAGAAGAAAAAACACAAAAUACCCAACCACAGAUCCUC